rnacentral:tRNA from 2 species
GGAGAGAUGGCCGAGCGGCCGAAGGCGCACGCCUGGAAAGUGUGUAUACGGCAACGUAUCGAGGGUUCGAAUCCCUCUCUCUCCGCCA